UGGCAUUGUUGUCUGUGUCAUUGUCAACCUUCAAUUUUUUUUUAAAAAAAAAAUAAUAUUGAUUGGUAUGGCAAUGGCAUCCGCAUCGGUCGGCGGCGGAUAGAAGCGUUGUGAGCUUUAGGAUUUCAGAGGCUCGACUUGGAUCCAAACCCCCCUUUGGGCAUAAAUAUUAAAUAGCUCGCAUUCACAUUGAUUUUCUUUAUUUAUUUAUUUUUCCAAUUUACAAAUUUGAUUGUUACUUGGAUCUUUUUUUUUAAUUAUUAUUUAAUAAUUGAUAUUCUUUUUUCAUUCUUAACCAGCUUUAACUCAGAUGAAGCUGUGAGCACAACAAUCAGAUUGAAAGCUUUUAUUUCGAAAGCUUUUUAUGGCCUAUUGAACAGCUUAAAAACGGCUGCGAUUAAAGUGGUGGAACUCAUUUUUGAAGCACUUGUUUACCUACUGAACAGUGAUGAAACUUGAAGUUUCUUUGAAGCCUUUCAUGAGUUUCUUACCUUUCUCCUUCUAUUUUUGGCUUCCUUAAUUGGUUUACACUUUCAAGCUUUGGGCAAAUCACCACUUGACUCGCAUUUUGCCAUCAUCUUGCUUCUUAUCAUGGCUACAAUUGCCUAUGGCAUUGCAUAUCUGGAGAACAAACUACAGCCUCAAGACACCGAGCACCACUCAAUACGCAGGCUCAUAUGCUUGCUCUGUGGAAUCGUUGCAUUUCAGCUAGCUCUCGCAAUACUCAUUUGCCCGUAUUGGUUAUUCAUGGUUAAUUUAUGGCCAAUCCUAAUUGUGGGGGUACUACGUCAUUCAUACCAACAAAUCUACCACGCAGCUAAUGUGGUACUAAAAGCAGGACCUAGCUUGUUUCAAAAGAUUUAUCAGUUCUUUUAUCAGAUAUAUGAGUGGCUCCUACAGAUAUUCAAAUCAAUUUCUCUGGCCGCUUCUCAAGCAUUUUCUUCAAAGGAACAAGAAGACAAUCAGAUGGCAUAAAUUGUUUAACGAAAAAAAAAAUGCCACUUAU